rnacentral:lncRNA from 1 species
CCGUCCGGAUCGAGCCCCUAUUCUUGUCGGAUCAAGUUGAAUUUUUUCCCAUACAUGUAUUUUAUCAUGAUGGUCAGAUCUGACGGUCGGAUUUAUUUUUCUCAAGUUUGAUCAUCACAAUCACAAUGUGCCAAAUGUAUAAAAAUACUUUUAGCCGACGAAUUUCAAAGGUUAGCCGACGAAUUUCAAAGGUUUAGCCGACGAAUUUAUAAAGUUUAGCCGACGAAUUUCAAGGUUUUAGCCGACGAAUUUAGAAGGUUUAGCUGACGAAUUGAUGUAUAGCCGACGAAAUUCGUAUCUUUAGCCGACGAAAUAAUUAUUUCGUCGGCUCAAGUUUUCGGGUUUAACUGCGAAACCCUAGCCUCCUCCCUCCCUCCCUCUCCCGGUCCCGAU